GAAAAUCUUAAGGAACCAACCAACCUUUGCUGGAGAAAGAGAUGAUGUUCCAGGUGAAGCUGAAGAAGUUUAGAACGAGGAGCGUGUUGGGAAAUUUACAUGGAAAUUUUAAAGUGUGAAAAUAAAUUGUUGUGAAGUAUUGUAUUUUAAGCAGACUUUUAAUUUGUUAUGGUUUGUAAUUUUAAAACAACUUUUAAUAUUCGGUUUGUAAUCCAAUAA
rnacentral:sRNA from 1 species